UACGAAGGGGGCUAGCGUUGCUCGGAAUGACUGGGCGUAAAGGGCGCGUAGGCGGUUCGUACAGUCAGACGUGAAAUUCCCGGGCUCAACCUGGGGACUGCGUUUGAUACGUGCGGGCUUGAGUUCGGAAGAGGGUCGUGGAAUUCCCAGUGUAGAGGUGAAAUUCGUAGAUAUCGAGAGGAACAUCGGUGGCGAAGGCGGCCUUCUGGACAGUGACUGACGCUGAGACGCGAAAGCGUGGGGAGCAAACAGG
rnacentral:rRNA from 1 species